rnacentral:rRNA from 1 species
AUUGAACGCUGGCGGCAGGCCUAACACAUGCAAGUCGAGCGAGCGGCGGACGGGUGAGUCAUGUCUGUGAAACUGCCUGAUGGAGGGGGAUAACUACUGGAAACGGUAGCUAAUACCGCAUACCAUCGGAUGUGCCCAGAUGGGAUUAGCUAGUAGGUGGGGUAACGGCUCACCUAGGCGACGAUCCCUAGCUGGUCUGAGAGGAUGACCAGCCACACUGGAAAUGAGACACGGUCCAGACUCCUACGGGAGGCAGCAGUGGGGAAUAUUGCACAAUGGGCGCAAGCCUGAUGCAGCCAUGCCGGGUGUAUGAAGAAGGCCUUCGGGUUGUAAAGUACUUUCAGCGGGGAGGCGUUACCCGCAGAAGAAGCACCGGCUAACUCCGUGCCAGCAGCCGCGGUAAUAC